UAAUACGGGGGGAGCAAGCGUUGUUCGGAUUUACUGGGCGUAAAGGGCGCGUAGGCGGUCAGCACAAGUCAGUUGUGAAAUCUCCGAGCUUAACUCGGAAAGGUCAACUGAUACUGUGCGACUAGAGUGCAGAAGGGGCAACUGGAAUUCUCGGUGUAGCGGUGAAAUGCGUAGAUAUCGAGAGGAACACCUGCGGCGAAGGCGGGUUGCUGGGCUGACACUGACGCUGAGGCGCGAAAGCUAGGGGAGCGAACGGGAUUAGAUACCCCGGUAGUCCUAGCCUUAAACGAUGAAUGCUUGGUGUCUGGGGUUAUAUAGUCCCCGGGUGCCGUCGCUAACGCUUUAAGCAUUCCGCCUGGGGAGUACGGUCGCAAGACUG
rnacentral:rRNA from 1 species